AUUGAACGCUGGCGGCAGGCUUAACACAUGCAAGUCGAGCGGGGUGAUGGUGCUUGCACUAUCACUUAGCGGCGGACGGGUGAGUAAUGCUUAGGAAUCUGCCUAUUAGUGGGGGACAACAUCUCGAAAGGGAUGCCAAUACCGCAUACGUCCUACGGGAGAAAGCAGGGGAUCACUUGUGACCUUGCGCUAAUAGAUGAGCCUAAGUCGGAUUAGCUAGUUGGUGGGGUAAAGGCCUACCAAGGCGACGAUCUGUAGCGGGUCUGAGAGGAUGAUCCGCCACACUGGGACUGGAACACGGCCCAGACUCCUACGGGAGGCAGCAGUGGGGAAUAUUGGACAAUGGGGGGAACCCUGAUCCAGCCAUGCCGCGUGUGUGAAGAAGGCCUUAUGGUUGUAAAGCACUUUAAGCGAGGAGGAGGCUCUUUUGGUUAAUACCCAAGAUGAGUGGACGUUACUCGCAGAAUAAGCACCGGCUAACCCUGUGCCAGCCGCCGCCGUAA
rnacentral:rRNA from 1 species